UUUUCUCGUGUCUUUUGAUCCUAUGGAACUUAUAUUGCUGCUGACUCUAGUGGAUUAUAUAUCUUUGGGGAAAAAAGAAACGCAUUAUUUUCUUCUUCUUACAUGUAAAACCGUUAAUACCCGAACCAGACAUAAAACAGAGGAAGGAUAAUUUGGAGAAAACAAAAAAAUGAAACCCUAAAUUGUAGUGGCGCUCAACUUACCCUCCAAAAUUCCAAAACCAUUAAAUUCGUUUAUUGCCCCUGAAAAUUUUCAAUAUUAUCAAAUAUCCCCGCCAGUACAGGAAUAGAGGGAACCUAUUGGCAAUUGUUAAAAAGUCAAAAAAAGCUUAGACAUUUUUCCGUAUAUCCCUCUAUAUUGUCUUUGAAGUUCAUAAACUGUGUUUGUUUUCUAUUGGGAAACACUUCCAAAAAGCAGUUGCAGCAGUUAUGGCUGUUAUUUCUUCAGUUCCUGAUUUGAAUAUCGAAGUUGUUGUUCGGGAGGAGAAGAAGGGUCGUUCUAAUUGCCCUGGAGUUCGCGUCAUUGGAGGCAGAAUAUAUGAUUCUGAAAAUGGGAAGAACUGUCACCAAUGCCGGCAAAAAACAAGAGAUUUUGCAGCUGGGUGCAGGAAUCAGAAAGGAAACAAGCAAUGUCCCAUGAAUUACUGCCAUAAAUGCCUGUUGAACAGGUAUGGGGAGAAAGCUGAAGAGGUAGCUCUGCUUGAUGAGUGGAAAUGUCCAAAGUGUAGGGGCAUUUGCAAUUGCAGUUGGUGUAUGAAGAAAAGAGGUCAUAAACCUACUGGUGUACUUGUGCACAUGGCUAAGGAAAAUGGGUUUUCUUCUGUCUCAGAACUUCUUCUGGUUAAAGGUGCUGAGAAUUUUGGUAUAGAUAGAGUUGCAAAAGAUACAAAUGUUUCAUUGAAGACGCCUGCUUCCACAAAGGAGUCUACAAUUGCUUCACUGAGGAAACCAGGGAAGGAAAACUCUUUUGAUGGAAACAAUGAUCUGAGUGAGCACCCUCAGAAUUUAACUCUAGUCUCUAACAACAAGAAAUCUAAGAAAAGGAGAAGGGAAAGAUUACUGGAGGCUAAUAGCAUCAGGGAUGGCUAUGAUGCUACUUUGGGGGAGAGUGACCAGAAGAAGCCUAGACUUACUGAGGAAGUUCAUAAAAGAAAGGUGAAGAUAAAUGAAGAGGAUGAAAGUGUUGUGGUAGAGAAAGGCAAGUCUAAGACACAGAAUGAGGACAUUCCUAAGAAAGAAGUAAAGAAAAAAGGAAAGGAUGAAGGUAUUAUUGUGGAAGAAAAGAAGUCCAAGGCACAAUCUCAAGAUGUUUCUAAGAAAGAAGUAACUGCAAAUAAAAAGGCUGUUGGCAUGAAAAAGAAGUUUAAGACACAAAUGCCAAAGGAUAUUGCUGCUUGUUCUACUGGAAAGGAAGAUUUGGAUGCUGCAAAUUUAAAGAAUGGAGCUGUUUUGAGUGGCAUUAAAAAUGAUAGUCUUGAAACCAAGAACAUGACAGCUGUAGAGUCGUGCAAAAUUAGCAACUGUACCGCAAAGCACUGCAGCAAGCAAAUCGAUGAAAACAUUCCAUUGCCUCCAGCCACCUGCUUAACUAUUGUGGCAGGAAUUGAGUUACCUAAUGAAGAUGCUGGGGAUGCAUUGCAAUUCUUCGAGUUUUGUGCUGCUUUUAGUAAGGUUCUUGAUGUCAAGAAAGGGCAAGCUGAAGCUGUAAUUAGAGAAAUAAUAUUUGGCCGAAGAACUCGCCGGUCACAAUGCUCAUUACUAGUGCAGUUUCACAUUAAAAUAUUAUCCUUGAUACAAGAGGAUAUAGGAGAAGUAUUUGCAGCCCUAAGUCCAACAAAUGGCCGAAAUUCAUGGUUGAAGGCUCUUGGGAAAUGUGUCUCUAAGUGCAAAUUUAUAUCAAUGGGGAUCCCCUCUGAUUGCUUUGAUACUGAUGAAGGAUAUGAUAUGUUGAGUACCACACAAAAGUUUAAACUCUUGAAUUUCCUAUGUGAUGAAGCUCUUAAUACAAAAGAUUUGAGGAAAUGGAUUGAUGAUCAAAAUUCUAAAUUUUUUGAAAGAGAGAAGGAAGCAAAAGAAAAGGUUCUAGCAGCAAAAGAUAAGGAGAAACAUUUGAAACAGAAGGUGCAGGAUGAGGUGGCUAAAGCCAUCAUCGCAAAAAAUGGUGCUUCCUUCUCUGUUUCUGAGCAUGAAGCUUUAGUGUCACAAAUAAAAAAAGAAGCUGCUCAAGCUCAUGCAGAAAUGAUGGAGGCCAUUGGGAUGGUAUCCAAAAAGAGACAAAGAUCUGAUGCUGUUAGAACAGACCCGACCCUUGUGGAUGUCAAUGGUCGUGCCUUUUGGAGACUAAAAGGUUAUAUUAAUCAACCGGAUAUCUUGUUUCAAGAUUUGGGGAGCCGGACUUCAUUUGCCCUUGAGGAGAAAUGGUUUGUCUAUGAUGUUGAGCAGGAACAAGGAAUCGAGAAAUACAUAUCCUCUUUAAGGCAUAAUACCUUGUGGGAUGCACACCUAGCUAUUGAAAUGUCCAGCUUAUGAUAACAUUUGUGAACUAGAGCGAACCAAGUAAUGAAAUGGAGAGGACAAAAAGGCUUAAGAUUCAAAAAGUUACCGAAACCCCUUUCUUUGGAGGCGUUGAAACAAACUCAAAGGAUGCUUUUACAGACCACUCGCCAUCUUGAUGUUGCAUAAUUUGAGAUAAAGAGGAGAAAAUUAUGAGAUUUGUCUGCCACAAUUUUUUGACAGUGGCGUCAUGCAAAUUCAUCAGAUACUGAACUUGCAAUAUUGAGUAAUUGACAAAAGUUAUAUAUGCUUCAACACCUUUUCUGGGGCAGCUAAUUGUUCUUUGUUGCCUUAUGCGACCCUUCUUGUAAAGUUCAUUAUUUGCUACCUUUAUGAAAAUAGCAAAUUAGAAUGUGAAAUGAAAUAGAUGUUCAGAAUAGGCAAGACAGUGAAGUAUGCUCUUUCAAUCUCUGUAAUUCAUUCUGUCCUGAAUCUUGUCUCUUCGUUUAAUUCAUUUGUAUAGUUUUUGCUAAUUAA